rnacentral:rRNA from 1 species
GCGAGCGAAGCGGGAAGAGCUCAMAUUUAUAAUCUGGCACCUUCGGUGUCCGAGUUGUAAUCUCUAGAAAUGUUUUCCGCGCUGGACCGCACACAAGUCUGUUGGAAUACAGCGGCAUAGUGGUGAGACCCCCGUAUAUGGUGCGGAUGCCCAGCGCUUUGUGAUACAUUUUCGAAGAGUCGAGUUGUUUGGGAAUGCAGCUCAAAUUGGGUGGUAAAUUCCAUCUAAAGCUAAAUAUUGGCGAGAGACCGAUAGCGAACAAGUACCGUGAGGGAAAGAUGAAAAGCACUUUGGAAAGAGAGUUAACAGUACGUGAAAUUGUUGGAAGGGAAACGCUUGAAGUCAGACUUGCUUGCCGAGCAAUCGGUUUGCAGGCCAGCAUCAGUUUUCCGGGAUGGAUAAUGGUAGAGAGAAGGUAGCAGUUUCGGCUGUGUUAUAGCUCUCUACUGGAUACAUCUUGGGGGACUGAGGAACGCAGUGUGCCUUACGGCGGGGGUUUCGACCUCUUCACACUUAGGAUGCUGGUGGAAUGGCUUUAAACGACCCGUCUUGAAACACGGACCAAGGAGUCUAACAUGCUUGCGAGUAUUUGGGUGUCAAACCCGGAUGCGUAAUGAAAGUGAAUGGAGGUGGGAACGCAAGGUGCACAUCGACGAUCUGGAUUUUUAAUGAUGGAUUUGAGUAAGAGCACGUAUG